rnacentral:rRNA from 1 species
UACGUAGGGGGCAAGCGUUGUCCGGAUUUAUUGGGCGUAAAGAGCGUGUAGGCGGCUUUGCAAGUCCGUUGUGAAAACUCGAGGCUCAACCUCGAGACGCCGGUGGAAACUGCAAAGCUAGAGUCCGGAAGAGGAGAGUGGAAUUCCUGGUGUAGCGGUGAAAUGCGCAGAUAUCAGGAAGAACACCCGUGGCGAAGGCGGCUCUCUGGACCUGUCCUGACGCUCAGGCGCGAAAGCUAGGGGAGCGAACAGG